UACAGAGGUCUCAAGCGUUGUUCGGAUUCAUUGGGCGUAAAGGGCGCGUAGGCUGCGCGGUAAGUCGGGUGUGAAAUCUCGGGGCUUAACUCCGAAACUGCAUUCGAUACUGCCGUGCUUGAGGACUGGAGAGGAGACUGGAAUUUACGGUGUAGCGGUGAAAUGCGUAGAUAUCGUAAGGAAGACCAGUGGCGAAGGCGGGUCUCUGGACAGUUCCU
rnacentral:rRNA from 1 species